AAUCCAUUUUGAGGGCAAUGUCAAAUCAAAUCUUUAUAGUUUUCCCAUGCUUCGUAGAGUGAUUCGAGAUCAUUUUGCUUGAAUUGAUUAAUCUCAUUCCUGAGUUG